rnacentral:rRNA from 1 species
AGUGAACGCUGGCGGUAGGCCUAACACAUGCAAGUCGAACGGCAGCACAGGAGAGCUUGCUCUCUGGGUGGCGAGUGGCGGACGGGUGAGGAAUACAUCGGAAUCUACUCUGUCGUGGGGGAUAACGUAGGGAAACUUACGCUAAUACCGCAUACGACCUACGGGUGAAAGCAGGGGAUCUUCGGACCUUGGCCGAGUGAAUGAGCCGAUGUCGGAUUAGCUAGUUGGCGGGGUAAAGGCCCACCAAGGCGACGAUCCGUAGCUGGUCUGAGAGGAUGAUCAGCCACACUGGAACUGAGACACGGUCCAGACUCCUACGGGAGGCAGCAGUGGGGAAUAUUGGAUAAUGGGCGCAAGCCUGAUCCAGCCAUACCGCGUGGGUGAAGAAGGCCUUCGGGUUGUAAAGCCCUUUUGUUGGGAAAGAAAUCCAGCUGGCUAAUACCCGGUUGGGAUGACGGUACCCAAAGAAUAAGCACCGGCUAACUUCGUGCCAGCCGCCGCGGUAA